GUGGCAAGCGUUGUCCGGGAAUAUUGGGCGUAAAGCGCGCGCAGGCGGCUUCUUAAGUCCAUCUUAAAAGUGCGGGGCUUAACCCCGUGAUGGGAUGGAAACUGAGAGGCUGGAGUAUCGGAGAGGAAAGUGGAAUUCCUAGUGUAGCGGUGAAAUGCGUAGAGAUUAGGAAGAACACCGGUGGCGAAGGCGACUUUCUGGACGACAACUGACGCUGAGGCGCGAAAGCGUGGGGAGCAA
rnacentral:rRNA from 1 species